UAGGGAAUCUUCGGCAAUGGACGGAAGUCUGACCGAGCAACGCCGCGUGAGUGAAGAAGGUUUUCGGAUCGUAAAGCUCUGUUGUUAGAGAAGAACGUUGGUAGGAGUGGAAAAUCUACCAAGUGACGGUAACUAACCAGAAAGGGACGGCUAACUACGUGCCAGCAGCCGCGGCAAUACGUAGGUCCCGAGCGUUGUCCGGAUUUAUUGGGCGUAAAGCGAGCGCAGGCGGUUCUUUAAGUCUGAAGUUAAAGGCAGUGGCUUAACCAUUGUACGCUUUGGAAACUGGAGAACUUGAGUGCAGAAGGGGAGAGUGGAAUUCCAUGUGUAGCGGUGAAAUGCAUAGGUAUAUGGAGGAACACCGGUGGCGAAAGCGGCUCUCUGGUCUGUAACUGACGCUGAGGCUCGAAAGCGUGGGGGGCAAACAGG
rnacentral:rRNA from 1 species